AAGUCGUAACAAGGUUUCCGUAGGUGAACCUGCGGAAGGAUCAUUAGAAAUUUUUAUGUAUUCAAAAAUUUUUUCAAUCUUUUAAAUUAUUUAUGUUAAAUAUGAUAAUCAUGAGACAACUUUCAACAACGGAUCUCUUGGCUCUU
rnacentral:misc_RNA from 1 species